GCACCGCUGAAGAGUCCCAUAAUAGGACGAAACGGCCGUCCAGUGC
rnacentral:hammerhead_ribozyme from 1 species